rnacentral:rRNA from 1 species
AGAGGGUGCAAGCGUUAAUCGGAAUUACUGGGCGUAAAGGGUGCGUAGGUGGUUUGAUAAGUUGGGUGUGAAAGUCCUGGGCUUAACCUGGGGAUUGCGCUUAAUACUGUUGAGCUAGAGUACUGUAGAGGAAGGUGGAAUUUCCGGUGUAGCGGUGAAAUGCGUAGAUAUCGGAAGGAACAUCAGUGGCGAAGGCGACUUUCUGGACAGAUACUGACACUGAGGCACGAAAGCAUGGGGAGCAAACAGGAUUAGAUACCCUGGUAGUCCAUGCUGUAAACGAUGAGGACUGGCUGUUGGGUGCCUAGAGCACUUGGUAGCGAASUAACGCGUUAAGUUCUCCGCCUGGGGAGUACGGUCGCAAGAUUA